ACUAAUGACUCCCAAGAGCUCUUAUCGACGAAGUCGUUUGGCACCUCGAUGUUGACUCAUCACAUCCUGGGGUUGAAGAAUUUCCCGAGGGUUCGGUUGUUCACUGUUGAAAGUGAUACAUGAGUUGGGUUUACAACACCGUGAGACAGAUC
rnacentral:rRNA from 1 species